rnacentral:rRNA from 1 species
UACGGAGGGGGCUAGCGUUGUUCGGAAUUACUGGGCGUAAAGCGCGCGUAGGCGGCUUUGUAAGUCAGAGGUGAAAUCCCGGGGCUCAACUCCGGAACUGCCUUUGAAACUGCAUCGCUUGAAUCCGGAGAGGUGAGUGGAAUUCCAGGUGUAGCGGUGAAAUGCGUAGAUAUCGGGAGGAACACCAGUGGCGAAGGCGGCUUUCUGGCCUGUUCUUGACGCUGAGGCGCGAAAGCCAGGGGAGCAAACGGG